AACGAACGCUGGCGGCAUGCCUAACACAUGCAAGUCGAACGAACCCUUCGGGGUUAGUGGCGCACGGGUGCGUAACACGUGGGAAUCUGCCCUUUGCUUCGGAAUAACAGUUAGAAAUGACUGCUAAUACCGGAUGAUGUCUUCGGACCAAAGAUUUAUCGGCAAGGGAUGAGCCCGCGUAGGAUUAGGUAGUUGGUGGGGUAAAGGCCUACCAAGCCGACGAUCCUUAGCUGGUCUGAGAGGAUGAUCAGCCACACUGGGACUGAGACACGGCCCAGACUCCUACGGGAGGCAGCAGUGGGGAAUAUUGGACAAUGGGCGCAAGCCUGAUCCAGCAAUGCCGCGUGAGUGAUGAAGGCCUUCGGGUCGUAAAGCUCUUUUACCAGGGAUGAUAAUGACAGUACCUGGAGAAUAAGCUCCGGCUAACUCCGUGCCAGCAGCCGCAGUAACAC
rnacentral:rRNA from 1 species